UACGAAGGGGGCUAGCGUUGUUCGGAAUUACUGGGCGUAAAGGGCGCGUAGGCGGUACUUCAAGUCAGGCGUGAAAGCCCCGGGCUCAACCUGGGAACCGCGCUUGAGACUGGAGAACUAGAGUUCGGGAGAGGAUGGUGGAAUUCCCAGUGUAGAGGUGAAAUUCGUAGAUAUUGGGAAGAACGCCGAUGGCGAAGGCAGCCAUCUGGACCGACACUGACGCUGAGGCGCGAAAGCGUGGGGAGCAAACAGG
rnacentral:rRNA from 1 species